AGUGAACGCUGGCGGUAGGCCUAACACAUGCAAGUCGAACGGCAGCACAGUAAGAGCUUGCUUUUACGGGUGGCGAGUGCGGACGAGUGAGGAAUACAUCGGAAUCUACUUUUUCGUGGGGGAUAACGUAGGGAAACUUACGCUAAUACCGCAUACGACCUACGGGUGAAAGCAGGGGAUCUUCGGACCUUGCGCGAUUGAAUGAGCCGAUGUCGGAUUAGCUAGUUGGCGGGGUAAAGGCCCACCAAGGCGACGAUCCGUAGCUGGUCUGAGAGGAUGAUCAGCCACACUGGAACUGAGACACGGUCCAGACUCCUACGGGAGGCAGCAGUGGGGAAUAUUGGACAAUGGGCGCAAGCCUGAUCCAGCCAUACCGCGUGGGUGAAGAAGGCCUUCGGGUUGUAAAGCCCUUUUGUUGGGAAAGAAAAGCAGCAGGUUAAUACCCCGCUGUUCUGACGGUACCCAAAGAAUAAGCACCGGCUAACUUCGUG
rnacentral:rRNA from 1 species